UACGUAGGGUGCGAGCGUUAAUCGGAAUACUGGGCGUAAAGCGUGCGCAGGCGGCUUUGCAAGACAGAUGUGAAAUCCCCGGGCUUAACCUGGGAACUGCAUUUGUGACUGCAUGGCUGGAGUGCGGCAGAGGGGGAUGGAAUUCCGCGUGUAGCAGUGAAAUGCGUAGAUAUGCGGAGGAACACCGAUGGCGAAGGCAAUCCCCC
rnacentral:rRNA from 1 species